rnacentral:rRNA from 1 species
UGGGGAAUUUUGGACGAAUUGGGGGCAACCCGUGAUCCAGCCAUCCCGCGUGUGCGAUGAAGGCCUUCGGGUUGUAAAGCACUUUUGGCAGGGAAGAAACAGCCUGGGAUAAUACCCCGGGCGACUGACGGUACCUGCAGAAUAAGCACCGGCUAACUACGUGCCAGCAGCCGCGGUAAUACGUAGGGUGCAAGCGUUAAUCGGAAUUACUGGGCGUAAAGCGUGCGCAGGCGGUUCGGAAAGAAAGGUGUGAAAUCCCAGGGCUUAACCUUGGAACUGCACUUUUAACUACCGAGCUAGAGUACGUCAGAGGGGGGUAGAAUUCCACGUGUAGCAGUGAAAUGCGUAGAGAUGUGGAGGAAUACCGAUGGCGAAGGCAGCCCCCUGGGAUGAUACUGACGCUCAUGCACGAAAGCGUGGGGAGCAAACAGGAUUAGAUACCCCUGGGUAGUCCACGCCCUAAACGAUGUCAACUAGCUGUUGGGGUUUAUUAACCUUAGUAGCGCAGCUAACGCGUGAAGUUGACCGCCUGGGGGAGUACGGUCGCAAGAUUAAAACUCAAA